GCCAGAUGUGGUGGCACGUGCCAGUAGUCCCACCUGCUUGGGAGGCUGAGGCUGGAGGAUUGCUUGACCCCAGGAGUUCUGGGCUGUAGUGCACUGACCGAUCAGGUGUCUGCACUAAGUUUGGCAUAUGGACACCUCCCAGGAGCAGGAGACCACUAGGUUGCCUAAGGAGGGGUGAACUGGCCCAGGUCAGAAAUGGAACAGGUCAAAACUCCCAUGCUGAUCAGUAGUGGGGUCAUGCCUGUGAAUAGCCACUGCAUUCCAGCCUGGGUAACAUAGAGACUCUGUUUCU
rnacentral:SRP_RNA from 1 species